GCGAAGAUAGCCUGCCCUGGGCUUAGGACCCUGUGGCGAAGGCCUUCGUGGGUUCGAAUCCCACCCCCCGCACCA
rnacentral:tRNA from 1 species